rnacentral:rRNA from 1 species
GGGUGCGUCGCAGCCCCGGAACCAGGCGCCCGCCGGAGGGACCAACCAAACUCUUUCUGUAGUCCCCUCGCGGACGUUAUUUCUUACAGCUCUGAGCAAAAAUUCAAAAUGAAUCAAAACUUUCAACAACGGAUCUCUUGGUUCUGGCAUCGAUGAAGAACGCAGCGAAAUGCGAUAAGUAAUGUGAAUUGCAGAAUUCAGUGAAUCAUCGAAUCUUUGAACGCACAUUGCGCCCGCCAGUAUUCUGGCGGGCAUGCCUGUCCGAGCGUCAUUUCAACCCUCGAACCCCUCCGGGGGUCCGGCGUUGGGGAUCGGGAACCCCUAAGACGGGAUCCCGGCCCCGAAAUACAGUGGCGGUCUCGCCGCAGCCUCUCAUGCGCAGUAGUUUGCACAACUCGCACCGGGAGCGCGGCGCGUCCACGUCCGUAAAACACCCAACUUCUGAAAUGUUGACCUCGGAUCAGGUAGGAAUACCCGCUGAACUUAAGCAUAUCAAAAGCCGGGAGGAA